AGGGAAUCUUGCGCAAUGGGCGAAAGCCUGACGCAGCGACGCCGCGUGAGGGAAGAAGGCCUUCGGGUCGUAAACCUCUGUCCUUGGGGACGAUGAUGACGGUACCCAAGGAGGAAGCCCCGGCUAACUACGUGCCAGCAGCCGCGGUAAUACGUAGGGGGCGAGCGUUGUCCGGAAUCACUGGGCGUAAAGGGUGCGUAGGCGACUUGGCAAGUCCUGUGUGAAAGGUCGCGGCUCAACCGCGGUGGGUCAUGGGAAACUGCCAAGCUCGAGUGCCGGAGAGGAUAGCGGAAUUCCCGGUGUAGCGGUGAAAUGCGUAGAGAUCGGGAGGAACACCAGUGGCGAAGGCGGCUAUCUGGAAGGUCACUGACGCUGAGGCACGACAGCUGGGGGAGCAAACA
rnacentral:rRNA from 1 species